CGUCUAUAUACGUAUAGCAUAUCAAUAAGCGGAGGAAAAGAAACUAACAAGGAUUCCCUUAGUAACGGCGAGUGAAGCGGGAAGAGCUCAAAUUUGAAAUCUUCAAGGUUCUACCUUGACGAAUUGUAGUUUAAAGAAGUGUUUUCUGUUAGAGGAGUAGCAAAAGUUCCUUGGAAUAGGACAUCAUAGAGGGUGAGAAUCCCGUAUUUGGUUAUUCUUUCUAGCUUUGUGAUACACUUUCAAAGAGUCGGAUUGUUUGGGAAUGCAGUCCAAAAUGGGUGGUAAAUUUCAUCUAAAGCUAAAUAUUGGCGAGAGACCGAUAGCGAACAAGUACCGUGAGGGAAAGAUGAAAAGAACUUUGAAAAGAGAGUUAAACAGUACGUGAAAUUGUCAAAAGGGAAGCGUUUGACACCAGUGUUGUUUUUCCGAAAAUCAAUUAAGACGUGGCUUGAUUUUGUGUUGUAUUGACCUUAUCAGCUUUCUUCACUCUUUUUCGAGUCUUUCUUAAUGCACUUUUCGGUUAACAAGUCAACAUCAAUUUCUUUUGUUGUAAAAGGGUAUUUGGAAGGUGGCUUUCUUUUCGGAGAAAGUGUUUAUAGCCUUAUACCUCUACAAUCGGAGAGAUUGAGGUCUGCAGCGUAGAUCCUACGGGGCUAGAUACACUUGUGCUAAGUUAUAGCUUUUCAUAGACAACUUGUUGACUAUGUUUAGUCAUGUAGCUUACCCGCUUGUGCUAUUUUACCUACGCUUAGGAUGUUGAGUCAUCACACAUCUCU
rnacentral:rRNA from 1 species